rnacentral:rRNA from 1 species
GAUGAACGCUGGCGGCGUGCCUAAUACAUGCAAGUCGGACGGGGUAUUUGAGCAAUCGAAUACUUAGUGGCGAACGGGUGAGUAACGCGUUGGUGACCUGCCCCAAAGCGGGGGAUAACAGCCUGAAAAGGUUGCUAAUACCGCAUGUGGUCAAGAGAGACUAGAAGCUCUUGAUUAAAGGAGAAAUCCCACUUUGGGAGGGGCCUGCGUCCCAUCAGCUAGUUGGUAGGGUAACGGCCUACCAAGGCGAAGACGGGUAGGGGACCUGAGAGGGUGACGCCCCACAAUGGAACUGAAAGACGGUCCAUACACCUACGGGUGGCAGCAGCAGGGAAUAUUGCCCCAUGGGCGAAAGCCGGAGGCAGCAACGCCGGGCGAGUGAAGAAGGCCCUCGGGACGUAAAACUCUUUUCAAGAGGAAGAGGAAGGACGGUACUCUUGGAAUAAGCCUCGGCUAACUACGUGCCAGCAGCCGCCGUAAUAC